rnacentral:rRNA from 1 species
UAGGGGGGGCAGGGGUUGGUUUUUUUAAGCAGGGGGGGCCACCCUUUUUCAACCCAAGCGGGGGGUUUGAAAAACGCCCCAGGGUUUAAAAAGCCUUUUCCCCAAAAAGAUAAACCCAUUUUUGGAAAAGAACCCCGGCUAACUCCGGGCAAGCACCCCUUUUAUUCGGAGGGGGUUAACUUUAUUGGGAAUUACUGGGCGUAAAGCGCACGUAGGCGGAUUAGUAAGUUAGAGGUGAAAUCCCAGGGCUCAACCCUGGAACUGCCUUUAAUACUGCUAGUCUUGAGUUCGAGAGAAGUAAGUGGAAUUCCGAGUGUAGAGGUGAAAUUUGUAGAUAUUCGGAGGAACACCAGUGGCGAAGGCGGCUUACUGGCUCGAUACUGACGCUGAGGUGCGAAAGUGUGGGGAGCAAACUGGAUUAGAUACCCUGGUCGUCCACACCGUAAACGAUGAAUGCCAGACGUCAGCAAGUAUACUUGUUGGUGUCACACCUAACGGAUUAAGCAUUCCGCUUGGGGAGUACGGUCGCAAGAUUAAAACUCAAAGGAAUUGACGGGCGCCCGCACAAGCGGUGGAGCAUGUGGUUUAAUUCGAAGCAACGCGCAGAACCUUACCAACCCUUGACAUCCUGUGCCACUACCAGAGAUGGUACGUUCCCUUCGGGGACGCAGUGACAGGUGCUGCAUGGCUGUCGUCAGCUCGUGUCGUGAGAUGUUCGGUUAAGUCCGGCAACGAGCGCAACCCACAUCCUUAGUUGCCAGCAGGUUAAGCUGGGCACUCUAGAGAAACUGCCCGUGAUAAGCGGGAGGAAGGUGUGGAUGACGUCAAGUCCUCAUGGCCCUUACGGGUUGGGCUACACACGUGCUACAAUGGCAGUGACAAUGGGUUAAUCCCCAAAAGCUGUCUCAGUUCGGAUUGGGGUCUGCAACUCGACCCCAUGAAGUCGGAAUCGCUAGUAAUCGCGUAACAGCAUGACGCGGUGAAUACGUUCCCGGGCCUUGUGCACACCGCCCGUCACACCAUGGGAGUUGGUUCUACCCGACGGCGCUGCGCUAACCCUUCGGGGAGGCAGGCGGCCACGGUAGGAUCAGCGACUGGGGUGAA